rnacentral:rRNA from 1 species
AGUGGCGGACGGGUGAGUAACGCGUGGGUAACCUGCCUCACACAGGGGGAUAACAGUUGGAAACGACCGCUAAUACCGCAUAAGCCGGAAGGAUCGCAUGAUCCGGCCGGAAAAGAUUUAUCGGUGUGAGAUGGACCCGCGUCUGAUUAGCCAGUUGGCAGGGUAACGGCCUACCAAAGCGACGAUCAGUAGCCGGCCUGAGAGGGUGAACGGCCACAUUGGGACUGAGACACGGCCCAAACUCCUACGGGAGGCAGCAG